rnacentral:rRNA from 16 species
GCUAACGCAUUAAGUGCCCCGCCUGGGGAGUACGGCCGCAAGGCUAAAACUCAAAGGAAUUGACGGGGGCCCGCACAAGCGGCGGAGCAUGUGGAUUAAUUCGAUGCAACGCGAAGAACCUUACCAAGGCUUGACAUGGGCUGGAUUGCUUCGGAGACGGGGUUUCCCUUUUUUGGGCUGGUUCACAGGUGGUGCAUGGUUGUCGUCAGCUCGUGUCGUGAGAUGUUGGGUUAAGUCCCGCAACGAGCGCAACCCUUGUCUUAUGUUGCCAGCAUUUGGUUGGGGACUCAUGAGAGACUGCCGGGGUUAACUCGGAGGAAGGUGGGGAUGACGUCAAAUCAUCAUGCCCCUUAUGUCCAGGGCUUCACGCAUGCUACAAUGGCUGGUACAGAGAGUGGCGAGCCUGUGAGGGUGAGCGAAUCUCGGAAAGCCGGUCUCAGUUCGGAUUGGGGUCUGCAACUCGAC